GGGGAAUUCUGGGAGUUGAAGUCCACACAUCUUCAAGGGGUCAAGGUUGAGAAACACUGCAUCAAGACAAUGAUCCCAAACAUGCAAAGGAAUGAAGAACAACAAAUGCAAUGGUUUGGUUCAGACCUAAACUGGCCAAAAUUUGUGGCAGGAUCUGAAAAAAAACAGUUCAUGCUAGAAAAUUGUCAAAUGUACUACUGUAAGUUGAAACAACUUGCCAUGGAGGAAUGGGUCAAUAUCCCUACACUAGGAUGUGGAAGAGUGAAAAUAAAUUAGAAGAAGCAUUUGGUUGCAGUUAUUGCAACUACCAGUAUAGAUAGUACAACCAGUUACUGUAUCUAAGGAGGCAAUUACCGUUUCACGGUGGUAGGUCCCCGGCUGGAUAAUUUUGUUACGAAGUAUAUGAAAUAAAUGAAAUACCAUGCUGAUGGUACAUAUUUACUCAGACUCCCUUUAUAUAUCAGCAGGACCCAUAGAAAGCUCUGAUAACAUUUGGUGAUAAAGAUAGGAAAAAAUGAGAGAAAAUGGAAAGGGGGCAAAUACUUUUUCAUGAAACUGUACAUUAGCAGCAGAGUACCGAUUGCUACAGGUGAACAGGCUCAACCCCUCAUGUUUCUUAACUCAGUUGAGUUUUCCAGGGAGCCUUGAGUAGCUGUGUACACACCGUGUACACAUUGUUUAGAUCCAAUGUGUGCUCACCCCUACAUUGAAACUCUGUAGGAGUUUUAGAAAAGUAAGCCCUCUUUCUUUUUUAAAAGUGUUUUCCUGCUUCAGAUGAUUCAUCUCAUAAAAAAUGAUCUGGAAAAGGUUUGUAUAAAUUUCUUGUUUUUACUUACUAAGAUUUUCCCCAGAAUUUGUAAAUACCUUUAUCAUGAGGCUUCACUUCCCCAAAAUAAUUUAUGGUGUCUUGAGACUUCUAGAAGAUGUAACAGAUAGACGUACUACUAAUAAACUUCAUCUGUAUCA